rnacentral:rRNA from 1 species
UACCAGCUCUCCGAGUGGUAGGGAUGAUUAUUGGGCUUAAAGCGUCCGUAGCCGGCUUAGCAAGUCUCCUGUUAAAUUCAGCGACCUAAUCGUUGAGCCGCGGGAGAUACUACUAGGCUAGGAGGCGGGAGAGGUCGACGGUACUUUCGGGGUAGGGGUGAAAUCCUAUAAAUCCCGGGAGGACCACCAGUGGCGAAGGCUGUCGACUAGAACGCGCUCGACGGUGAGGGACGAAAGCUGGGGGAGCGAACCGGAUUAGAUACCCGGGUAGUCCCAGCUGUAAACUAUGCGGGCUAGGUGUUGGGGUGGCUACGGGCCACUUCAGUGCCGCAGGAAAGCCAUUAAGCCCGCCGCCUGGGGAGUACGGCCGCAAGGCUGAAACUUAAAGGAAUUGGCGGGGGAGCACCACAAGGGGUGAAGCUUGUGGUUU